rnacentral:rRNA from 1 species
GAUGAACGCUGGCGGCGUGCAUAACACAUUCAAGUCGAACGGACAGUAGCAAUACUGUUAGUGGCGGACGGGUGAGUAACACGUGAGCAACCUGCCUGUGUGAGGGGAACAACAGCCAGAAACAGCUGCUAAUACCGCAUAAUGUAUUCGAAUCGCAUGGUUUGAAUACCAAAGAUUUUAUCGCACACAGAUGGGCUCGCGUCCGAUUAGGUAGUUGGUGAGGUAACGGCCCACCAAGCCGACGAUCGGUAGCCGGACUGAGAGGUUGAACGGCCACAUUGGGACUGAGACACGGCCCAGACUCCUACGGGAGGCAGCAGUGGGGAAUAUUGCACAAUGGGCGCAAGCCUGAUGCAGCAACGCCGCGUGAGGGAAGACGGUUUUCGGAUUGUAAACCUCUGUCUUUGGUGACGAAGAAGUGACGGUAGCCAAGGAGGAAGCCACGACUAACUACGUGCCAGCCGCCGCCGUAACAC